rnacentral:rRNA from 1 species
UAAAGCUAAUCUGAGCAGGGUAAGCCGACCCCUAAGGCGAGGCCGAAAGGCGUAGUCGAUGGGAACCAGGUUAAUAUUCCUGGGCCAGUGGGAUGUGACGGAUCGUGACUGUUGUUCACCCUUAUUGGAUUGGGUGGGCCGCUAAUCGGUUCCUGGAAAUAGCCCCACACCAGACCGUACCCUAAACCGACACAGGUGGACUGGUAGAGAAUACCAAGGCGCUUGAGAGAACGAUGUUGAAGGAACUCGGCAAAAU